ACAUCCAAGGAAGGCAGCAGGCGCGAAAAUUAUCCAAUCCUGAUUCAGGGAGGUAGUGAAACAAAUAAUGAACUAGGAUUUAUCCUGGGGUCACAAUGGGCUUGAUUUGCAAACUUUAUUUAGCGAGGAACAAUUGGAGGGCAAGUCUGGUGCCAGCAGCCGCGGUAAUUCCAGCUCCAAUAGUGUAUAUUAAUGUUCCUGCAGUUAUUCGAUGCUCGUAGUUGGAUUUCUGGAGGCUGAGAUCGGAGGGUAGCCAAGGUUACCGCUGAACUCUUCCUUCAUCCACCUGUUAACGUUGUCCGGGAUUCGUUUCUCGGCUUCGGGCUCAGGCAUAUACUUUUACCCUUUUUUCUAUAUUUAUUGUUUUGAGUAAAUUAUAGUGUUUCAGGCAGGCGUGCGCCGGAAUACUUUAGCAUGGAAUAAUCGAAUUGGACCGUGUAUUCUUAUUGAAUUCUUCCUUAUUGUUGGUUCAAGGACACGGAAAUGGUUAAUAGGGAUAGUGUUUUUAUUAUCAGGGGAGGCAUUAAUAUUUAAUUUCCAGAGGUGAAAUUCUUUGAAAUAUUAAAGACUAACUUAUGCGAAAGCAUUUAUUAUUGCCAAUAAUGUUUUCAUUAAUCAUUGAACGAAAGUUAGGGGAUCAAAGACGAUCAGAUACCGUCCUAGUCUUAACCAUAAACGUUGCCGACUAGGGAUCGGANGGCGUGCACAUUCCGCCUUCGGCACCUUACGAGAAAUCAAAGUCUUUUGGGUUCUGGGGGUAGUAUGGNCGCAAGGCUGANCUUAAAGGAAUUGACGGAAGGGCACCACCAGGAGUGGAGCUUGCNGCUCAAUUUGACUCAACACGGGAAA
rnacentral:rRNA from 1 species